GCUGGCAGCCAGCUCUCUGCAACUCUCACAUGGUCGCCCACUGAAGCUAAGCAGGGCUGCGCCCGGUCAGUACCUGGAUGGGAGUACACAUGGGAAAGCUAGGUUGCUGCCGGAA
rnacentral:rRNA from 1 species